rnacentral:rRNA from 1 species
AUGCCCCGGCAACUCCUCCUCGGUCGCCGACGGCAAAGCGGGCUCUCCUCGACUCGCCGCCGCCGCCGCCUUACCUCCCUUCCGACGUCAUCCUCGCCAUCCUGUCAUGGCUGCCGCCCAAGUCCGUGCUCCGCUUCACGUCCGUCUGCAAGUCCUGGCAGGCCAUGCUAUCCGACCCAGGUUUCAUCACCGCCCACCUCGAGCGCUCCAAGACGAUCCGCCCGUCGCUGCUCAUGGUGCCCUGCGUGUACGACCCCAACGACAUCAAGAGGAACAAUGAGGACAGCGCCUUCGACAUGUCCUUCUACAGGUACCGCGCCGGCGGCGCCGAGGAGCUGGUGCACCGGGAGGAGCUGCCCGGAGGGAUCGCCCUGUGGAGCAGCCCCCUGCACUGCGACGGCCUCAUCCUUAUCCACCAUGAGAGAGGAGGAGCUGGUGGUCUGCAACCCGGCGACGAGGGAGUUCCUCGCCCUGCCGGAACGGAAGCAGAAGCACUGCGUGUACACGUUCCCGAGGGCGGGGCUCGGGUUCGACCCCCGCAGCAAGAAGUACAAGGUGGCGAGGUUCUUCUACCAGCCGCUCGCCGACGGCGACGGCCUGGCCUGCAGGUUCGUGGUGCUCACCCUCGGCGCCGACAGCGCAUGGAGGCAGACGGCGGAUCCGCCGCACUGGAUCUGCGGACGAACUCCGGCCCACGCCAACGGUCACAUCUACUGGACAUGCGACGGCACGCCAGCCCGCCCGGAUCCGCCCGACCUGUUCCUCCGGUUCAGCCUGGCCGACGAGGAGUUCGGCCUGGUCCCGUUCCCGCCGUCUGGUCUCCGGCCCGCCCGCCUCGCGGAGCUGGGGGGCGAGCUGUGCUGCGUCUGCUUCGGCUACACCAACCGGGAGCUCGAGGUCUGGAGCUUGGGCUUCGACGGCGGGGCUGACGGGAAGCCCGAGUGGAGGUGGAGUCGACGCUGGGCUACGGCGAUCGGCCCUGAUCUGGUCACGGAGCUGGCCGAGUGCAGGGCUCUGAGGCCUCCCAGAGUCGUUCUUCAUGAGGGGGCGUGGCUUCUGACGGAGGAGCGGAACGUGCACCGGUACGUCGACCGGACCGGUGAGAUCGAGAAGAUCUCCUCGGGCGUUCCACACGCGAGAUACCAUUAUCCUAGGUCGGAGAAGGAAGUGGUUUUACAUCUGACUAAUUAUGUCGAGAGUCUAGUGCGGAUUAGAUGA